UACGAAGGGGGCUAGCGUUGCUUCGGAAUUACUGGGCGUAAAGCGCACGUAGGCGGCUUUCUAAGUCGGGGGUGAAAUCCUGGAGCUCAACUCCAGAACUGCCUUCGAUACUGGAAAGCUCGAGUCCGGGAGAGGUGAGCGGAACUGCGAGUGUAGAGGUGAAAUUCGUAGAUAUUCGCAAGAACACCAGUGGCGAAGGCGGCUCACUGGCCCGGUACUGACGCUGAGGUGCGAAAGCGUGGGGAGCAAACAGG
rnacentral:rRNA from 1 species